UACAGAGGUCUCAAGCGUUGUUCGGAUUCAUUGGGCGUAAAGCGCGUGUAGGCGGCCCGAUAAGUCCGCUGUGAAAGUCCAGGGCUCAACCCUGGAAUGCCGGUGGAUACUGUCGGGCUCGAGUCCGGAAGAGGCGAGUGGAAUUCCUGGUGUAGCGGUGAAAUGCGUAGAUAUCAGGAGGAACACCUGCGGUGUAGACGGCUUACUGGACCAUAACUGACGCUGAGGCACGAAAGCGUGGGUAGCAAACAGG
rnacentral:rRNA from 1 species